GUCGAGGGGCAUCGGGGCGAGGAGCAAUCCUUGCCGCCGGCGACCGGCGCUCGGGUGAGUAACGCGUAUGCGACCUGCCCGUUGCAGGGGGAUAAUCGGGAGAAAUCCCGUCUAAUACCGCGUAAUGCCGCGGGGCUGCAUGGCCCUGCGGCCAAAGGAAGCGAUUCCGGCAACGGAUGGGCAUGCGUGACAUUAGCUAGUUGGCGGGGCAACGGCCCACCAAGGCGACGAUGUCUAGGGGUUCUGAGAGGAAGGUCCCCCACACUGGUACUGAGACACGGACCAGACUCCUACGGGAGGCAGCAGUGAGGAAUAUUGGUCAAUGGGCGCGAGCCUGAACCAGCCAAGUCGCGUGAGAGAUGACGGCCCUACGGGUUGUAAACCUCUUUUGUCGGGGAGCAAAUUCCGCCACGCGUGGCGGAGUCGAGAGUACCCGAAGAAAAAGCAUCGGCUAACUCCGUGCCAGCAGCCGCGGUAAUACGGAGGAUGCGAGCGUUAUCCGGAUUUAUUGGGUUUAAAGGGUGCGUAGGCGGACUGUCAAGUCAGCGGUAAAAUACGGGGGCUCAACCUCCGCCCGCCGUUGAAACUGACGGUCUUGAGUGGGCGAGAAGUAUGCGGAAUGCGUGGUGUAGCGGUGAAAUGCAUAGAUAUCACGCAGAACUCCGAUUGCGAAGGCAGCAUACCGGCGCCCAACUGACGCUGAAGCACGAAAGCGUGGGUAUCGAACAGGAUUAGAUACCCUGGUAGUCCACGCAGUAAACGAUGAAUACUAGCUGUCCGGGGCGAAUGAGCUCUGGGUGGCACAGCGAAAGC
rnacentral:rRNA from 1 species